CCUACGGGAGACAGCAGUGGGGAAUAUUGCACAAUGGGGGAAACCCUGAUGCAGCGACGCCGCGUGAGUGAAGAAGUAAUUCGUUAUGUAAAGCUCUAUCAGCAGGGAAGAAAAUGACGGUACCUGAGUCAGAAGCCCCGGCUAACUACGUGCCAGCAGCCGCGGUAAUACGUAGGGGGCAAGCGUUAUCCGGAUUUACUGGGUGUAAAGGGAGCGUAGACGGCAGUGCAAGUCUGGAGUGAAAGGCGGGGGCUCAACCCCCGGACUGCUCUGGAAACUGUACGGCUGGAGUGCAGGAGAGGUAAGUGGAAUUCCUGGUGUAGCGGUGAAAUGCGUAGAUAUUAGGAGGAACACCAGUGGCGAAGGCGGCUUACUGGACUGUAACUGACGUUGAGGCACGAAAGCGUGGGGAGCAAACAGGAUUAGAUACCCCUGUAGUC
rnacentral:rRNA from 1 species